AAUAAGUGUUGGAAAUUUCUCUCUCACAGGCACUGGUCAGUAGGUUGAGGUUAUUGGACAAAUGUCAAUGGGUCCUGAGAUCAUCCAAAUGGGUGCCAACUAGAGUCGAAUUUGAGGGAAAAGGGGAGACUUCAGGGCAAAUGGGGAAGAGGCCGUGGCCUCCCACCUGCAGAGCUUGGGCAGGUGCAGGACCCACCCUGCUGCUUGCUGGCCUGAGAAUGCCUACGAUUUUGGAGCUUUUGGAACCACCGGCAGGACAUUGUGUUUGCUGGAACAUGCUCUCGGAAAAAUCUUGUACUGGCUUCCCAGGCAUUUUGAGAUCUGCUCACCUUAAUUCUAUUGCUGAGACCAGAUAAAAGUUCCAGAGCCCCAUCCUGGAGUUUUGGGUUGUUAAGAGAAGAGGCCCAGAUCCCACAUAUUACACCAAGUGAGUCUGUGUCACUGAUGGAACUAGUGAUGACUCUCUGGGAUGCUUUGACGUGGAAGGAGGGAGCUAAAACACAAGAAAUCAAAGAAAAACAACUAAACUAAACUUCAUCAAAAUUUUAAAAAGUGUGUACUUCAAAGGAUACCACCAAGAAAGUGAAAAGACACCGGGAAGAAUGGGAGGUAAUGAUGGUAACUCAUACACUCAUCAGGAACUUGUAUCGCCAUCUGUAAUGGGUUCUUACAAUGUGGAUGACCCUGGAAACACCAAGCUAAGUGCAAGGAACCAAAUACAAGAGGCUAUAGAGUGUGACUCUAUUUAAAUGAAAUGUUCAGAACAGGCAAAUCCACAGACUCGGGAAGUACGUUAGUAGUUGCCAGGGAAUAGGAGGAGAAGGAAGUACUACUUAUGGGUAUGGGU